UUAUAAGUCUCAUUAUAUAUGACUUCCCUUUUCACACUUCAGAUUUCAGACAAAUUAGCUUCUCUGUUCUUCACACAAGUCAAUUCCUGUAUCAUCUCCUGGAAUCUAUCAUCUUUGUCUGGAAUGUACUACCUCCUCACCUCAGAGAAUACAUAUUCCUUUAAGAUUCAGCUAAAUCCUUUCAAGAAUGGAAUAACUACAUUAAAGAAAGUUGACUAUUCAAAGAGAUGAAGCAUUCCAUAGUUAUGGAUUGAAGAAAAUAUUUUUCACCAGCUUUACAUAUUCUGUUCCAAGAUCCAAUUUGUUCUCAGAUGUCUCUAUGUGCAACUACUAACUCUAAAACUUCUAUGUAUAGCACAUGAACAUAGAGAAAGUAUUAUUUACAUGAGAUUGUAUUCUCUUAAAACUCAAAACCUGGUGUUGUUCAUACUGUUAGAAAGGAAUUGUUGGCUGAAAAACAAAAAUAGCUGAAACUAUUUUUGACACCCAUUGAUCAUCAACAGAUAUAUGAGAACAAAUGAACAUAUUUUGGAUGCAGUACAUGUUUUGAUAGCUAAAAUUUCUCCAGUUGGUUCAUGUUGUCAGUGAUGUAGAUACUACAAUAUAGAUCAUGACCAGUUCCUUCUCAGAAGUUUACCACAAGUGUCUGCCUAUAGCAUGCAUCUUUGUUUUCUCUUAAUGACAUUAUGGUAGAAGUGUCACACUUGGGCUGUCAACCCCUUUUACUUUGCUCUUACCAUGUGACUUGUCCAUACUUUUAUUGUUCCUAUAUUUUCCUGAGGACAUGCUUUGUUCCACCUACAUUUUGAAGUUCAUAGUUUUUCAAUAUAUUAUAGCCUGCUCCUGAAAAAAAAAAAAACUUCUCCUCCCUAUUAUGCAGUAUAUAAUAUUCAUUUUAAUUCUUUAUUUUUCAUUUUAUUUACUUACUAUAUAUCCAUUUAUUAGUUGUAUUUUCCAAUUUCAUUUCUAUACAUGACUGAACUAAAAAAAAAAAGAAAAUCAACCAUUAGACAAAAAUGUACAGUACCGGGAAACAAAUUCUUCAUUUCUCAUCUUCAGGAAUACAUAUCUUUUUUUUUCAUUAUGUCUUUCAUCUCUUUGAAAGGAACUGGGUAGCAUGCUUCAUCUUCAGUCUUCUGAUAUCAUAACAUUCUAUUAAAUUCACAAUAUUUUUUCUUUUUUUUUAAAGAUUGUAAUUAUUGUAUAGAUUGCUUUCCUACCUCUACUUCCUCUAAUCUGCAAUGGCUAAAGAUAUGUUCAAGGUUUUGUUUGAAACUUUCCAUUACAUUACUUCCUAUAAUACAAUAUUAGUUCAUUACUUUCUUUUUCCACAAUUUGGUAAUUUACUAAAAAUCCUUGAGUUUCCAAUUUGAGAUUACUUUCAAAAGAAUUGCUAUGGAUAUUUUGACCAAAAAAAAGGGUCUUUUUUCCCCUUUCUUUCAUCUCUUGGGACAAUAGGCAUAGUGAUAAUACUGAUUCAAAGAAUAUAGACAAUUUACUUUUUCAUCAUAUUUCCAAAAUUCUUUGUAGACUAUCUAGAUCAAUUCACAGACACUACAAUACUGUAGUACUAUGUCUAUUCACACACACACACACACACACACACACACACACCUUUUCAUUUUUGGUCAGUUUUCUCUUUUAUAUUUGCAAAUCUGGUGAUUGGGGGAUGAUAGUAUCUUAGAGUUGUUCUACUUUACAUUCCUGAACAUUUUUUUCAUAUGGUUAGAUAGAUAGAUAGCUUACAUUUAUUCUUUAGACAAGUCCCUAUUCAUUUAAAAUGGUUCUUACUCUUAUAAUUUUGAAUGUUAUUUUAUAUAUCUUGCAUAUGAGAUAAUAAAUGGGUUCUUUGGGGUUCA
ensembl:lncRNA